GAGGCCUUAGCUUAUUUAAAGUGUCUGAUUUGCAGUCAGAGGAUGUAGUGAUGAAUUUACAGGUCUU
rnacentral:tRNA from 1 species